AAUCAACGCUGGCGGCGUGCCUCAGACAUGCAAGUCGAACGCGAAAGCUCCCUUCGGGGAGCAAGUAGAGUGGCGCACGGGUGAGUAACACGUAGGUAAUCUACCUUUGGAUGGGGAAUAACAACCGGAAACGGUUGCUAAUACCGCAUAAUGCAGCGGCACCUAAUGGUGACAGUUGUUAAAGCGGGGGAUCGCAAGACCUCGCGUCUGAAGAGGAGCCUGCGGCAGAUUAGCUAGUUGGUAAGGUAACGGCUUACCAAGGCGAUGAUCUGUAGCCGGCCUGAGAGGGCGGUCGGCCACACUGACACUGACAUACGGGUCAGACUCCUACGGGAGGCAGCAGUCGGGAAUUUUGGGCAAUGGGCGAAAGCCUGACCCAGCAACGCCGCGUAAAGGAUGAAAUCCCUUGGGAUGUAAACUUCGCAAGAACGGGAAGAAUAAGCCGGUGUAAAUACCACCGGCGAUGACGGUACUGUUUGUAAGCUCCGGCUAACUCCGUGCCAGCAGCC
rnacentral:rRNA from 1 species